rnacentral:rRNA from 1 species
AUGAUUGAGCGCUCCAGAAAUCAAGAGUACCAGGGAUCAAAUUUGAGACAGUUCAGCACCGCUUCUUACUUCGCUUUCUCUACUUUGACAUUUUCACAUGCUCAGACUAUUAGAAGCCCCUUGUCAAAACUAUGUGCAGUGGUAUGGUGCUUUGUGGUGCUGAUUGUAGUGCAGAGUUACACAGCAAGCUUGUCAGCCAUACUAACCGCAAAGAGCCGCCGGCCUUCAGUGACAGAUCUGGACCAGCUCCAGCUCAGGAAUGGCUCUGUUGGACACCAAGAGGGGUCAUUUCUGCGGUCCAUCUUGAUAAAAAAUUAUUAUUUCGACAAAGAUAGGCUACAGAGCUACAUAAAGAAAGAGGACUAUGCUGAUGCUUUGAGAAAUGGAUCGGUAUCAGCUAUCGUUGAUGAGCUUCCCUUCUUGACAUCGUUCCUCUCUGAUCCUCGGAAUAAGGAAGAGUUUAGGAUGGUUAAUCUCAUGUACAUGACUCCUGGAUUUGGUUUUGCAUUCUGUGUAGGUUCGCCGCUGGUGCAUGAUCUUUCUACUGCCAUCUUGAAAAUAACUGGAGGCGAUGAGGGAUUGAGGAUUCAACGAAAAUGGUUAGGCGCAGAUCCACUGUCGUCGUCGGCCAGUUACGGCAGCCCCGACCCCAGUUCCACACAAAUCAAUUUGCCAUCACCGGAGUUAUCUCAACUCUCAUGUUGCUGGUAA